rnacentral:rRNA from 1 species
CGGAGGGUGCAAGCGUUAUCCGGAUUCACUGGGUUUAAAGGGUGCGUAGGUGGGCAAGUAAGUCAGUGGUGAAAUCUCCGGGCUUAACCCGGAAACUGCCAUUGAUACUAUUUGUCUUGAAUACUGAGGAGGUCAGCGGAAUAUGUCAUGUAGCGGUGAAAUGCUUAGAUUUGACAUAGAACACCAAUUGCGAAGGCAGCUGGCUACACAAAUAUUGACACUGAGGCACGAAAGCGUGGGGAUCAAACAGGAUUAGAUACCCUGGUAGUCCACGCCCUAAACUAUGGAUACUCGACAUUUGCGAUAAACUGCAAGUGUCUGAGCGAAAGCAUUAAGUAUCCCACCUGGGAAGUACGAUCGCAAGAUUG